rnacentral:lncRNA from 1 species
GCCGCCGCCGCCGCCGCCGCCGCCCUUUGCCUGAGGGGAGCCGAGCGGAGCGGAGGGGGCCGGCGGCGGUUGGGGCAGGUGAAGAAGGUCCUGGAACCGGCCGGACUCAUAUAUAUGUGUAUAUAUAUAUAUAACUUAUUUAUUUUUGUCCUAGAGUGAAAUUCCAUGUUAAGAGACGUCUGACUAUUAAAAUAACCCGUUCCAGUGACAGCAUGUAAAGUGAAGUUCCUCUACAGAACUUGGCGGCCAGMUGGAGUAGUUAAAGAAGACCUGAAGCAAUGCUGGGAGCACUCAAUGCUCCAUAUGUUCCCAGAGUGAAUUACUUGAUGGGAAGAAAAGAGGCAUCCWUUGGGGAUUCUGUGAUAAAACUGCUUCAAACAAAUGAACAAAAACUAUGACAGAGCUACAGAUCCCCUUUCUUCACAACGUCCAAAGCUGCUGGCGGUGGUCAGCUCCUCAGUCUGGAGAAACUUCCUGAAUGGACUUUGCUUCACUGCUGGUGGUUCUUCGGCAUGGCUUUCUGGCAUGUAGAAAGUGUGUUUUGAGAGACCUUUGUUAGCAAAGACGUCCARCUCCAGAGAGAGCUUGUAACGAAAUAGGAAGCGAUGCUGGCAAAAUAUUCUAAAAG